ensembl:snoRNA
GCGUGGGUUUGGAUUGAUGGCAGGUCCGACCCCAUGGCCUCUCACAGUGUCCUGUGCCAGAGCAACCUGUAGCCCCGAGCCAUUGCUGGGCUUCACCCCCUGGGCUUCAGGCACCGAGGUGGGUUGCACAGUG